rnacentral:rRNA from 1 species
GACGAACGCUGGCGGCGUGCCUAAUACAUGCAAGUCAAGCGAGACUCUUCGGAGUCUAGCGGCGGACGGGUGAGUAACACGUGGGCAACCUGCCUGUAAGACUGGGAUAACACCGGGAAACCGGUGCUAAUACCGGAUAAUCCUUUUCCUCUCAUGAGGGAAAGCUGAACGGAGCGUUUGCUUCGCUAAGGGAUGGACCUGCGGCGCAUUAGCUAGUUGGUGUGGUAACAGCGCACCAAGGCGACGAUGCAUAGCCGGGCUGAGAGGCUGAACGGCCACAUUGGGACUGAGACACGGCCCAAACUUCUACGGAAGGCUGCAGUAGGGAAUUUUUCGCAAUGGACGCAAGUCUGACGAAGCAAUGCCGCGUGAGGGAUGAAGGUUUUCGGAUUGUAAACCUCUGUUAUAAGGGAAGAAAACGUGAUAUAGGAAAUGAUAUCAGCUUGACGGUACCUUAUCAGAAAGGGACGGCUAACUACGUGCCAGCCGCCGCGGUAACAC